rnacentral:rRNA from 1 species
GACGAACGCUGGCGGCGUGCUUAACACAUGCAAGUCGAACGAAGUGGCGAACGGGUGAGUAAUACGUGGGUAACUGCCCUCCUUUUUGGGAUAAGCCUUGGAAACGGGGUCUAAUACCGAAUAAAGGGGGAUUGGCUCGCGGCCUAUCAGCUUGUUGGGGGGGUGAUGGCCUACCAAGGCGGUGACGGGUAGCCGGACUGAGAGGUGAUCGGCCGCAUUGGUCUGAGACACGGCCCUGAAUCCUACGGGAGGCAGCAGUGGGGAAUAGUGGGCAAUGGGCGCAAGCCUGACGCAGCAACUCCGGGUGAAGGAAGACGGUAUUCGGAGUGUAAACUUCUUUAGACAGGGACGCGGUACCUGUAGAAUAAGCAACGGCUAACUACGUGCCAGCCGCCGCGGUAAUAC